UACGAGGGGGGCGAGCGUUGUUCGGAAUUAUUGGGCGUAAAGGGUGCGUAGGCGGUUUGGUAAGUCUUAUGUGAAAUCUACAGGCUCAACUUGUAGUCUGCAAUGAGAAACUGCCGGGCUUGAGUAUGGGAGAGGUGAGUGGAAUUCCUGGUGUAGCGGUGAAAUGCGUAGAUAUCAGGAGGAACACCUGUGGCGAAAGCGGCUCACUGGACCAUAACUGACGCUGAUGCACGAAAAGCUAGGGGGAGCAAACAGG
rnacentral:rRNA from 1 species